rnacentral:lncRNA from 1 species
UAUCAUCUUAGACCCUAACGGCAGAAAAUGAUCUCCUGUCUGGAGAGAAAAUUUCAAUGACUCAGCCACUAUCAUUCAUCAUCAUUCUUUUUAGCAAGAUACAUUUAUUUUUUAAUAACCAUAAACAUUUUUCUCAACCUGUUCAUUUCAGCCCAUGAUGGAACAGUCAUAUCUAUACUGUGGAGGACAAGUAAUGCUUCAAGUGUUACUUAACAGUCUGCAAAUAUUUCUAAAGGGAAUAACUAGUGUUUUUGCAGGGUUAAUUAUCUAAACUCAUUGUCAUGCUUUAUCUACUCUUCAAUAACCUUGCAUAAUUCAGCAUUAAAAUACAAUAAGUUUGUUAAUAACUAUACUAAACUGUACCUUAUCAACACAGCAUUCAAAAAUACCACCUAAAUUAGAUGUAAAUAAUUUCCCAACCUCCAAUCACUGAUCUUGAUUUAUUUGCCCUGGAUCCAUUCUGCCGUCAUGGAGAUCUCUCUUCUUUCUUAUUCUCAAGAUCAGCGACUUAAACAUUUGUCUAGGCUAAACACAAUGCAAUGUUCUUUAUCAGAAAAAGUAACUUCUAUGCUUAUUUUUCAAAUUCUGUACCAUUUCAAUUCUGUGUUUUCAGUAGCUAAAUAUUUUAAAUGAAUGAACGUUAAAAUGGUUUCUCUUGCAUCAAAAGUUUGUGUCUUUUUUCUGUUGUUUUUUUC